AAGAAGUUGAAUUCAUGUUUCCUUGCUCUUUAGGGGUUUGCUUUUGAAGAUUUUUUUGGGCACUUAGCUUUAUUUUAAUAUGAUGUGUGCAAUACCGCAGUUUGAAUGAAGUCUGUGCUCAAGAAGGUUUUGGUCCAACUGCUAUUAAAAAUGAAAAAAGUUUGUCUAGAUGUCUUUAAUUUGCUCUCUAUAGAUAUGCGUUUAUUAUACCAUUAGAAAUCCUUUUCUCGUUGUGAUGGUUCUCCUUCAUUCUGAAACUUCCUCUAUGAUGUUAACUAACCUUUUUUUUCAAUUCCAAAGAUGUUUUUAUCUGAAGCUUAGCAUUCUUAUGUUAUUCUCAGCUACUUGAUGCUCAUCUUAUCUCAAGGCAAUAAACUAAUCAUUUGAUAACUAUUGAAAAAGUAAAGGACAUAAAGGUGCCCCUUACUAUAAAUUUCUCUUGAUAAUUAGUUUGCUCAAUCUUCCCUGUAAAAACCUGAAUUUAUUAGUUGUUUGUAUAGGUUUCUCAGUUAUUAUUAGAAAUUACAAGUGGAUGUAGUCAGGGACAAUUUUUAUUUUAGUAGUGAUCUAGACCUUUUUGGCUUUUGAUGUCCAACGGUAGGAUGGAGGUAGAAUUUGUGAUUACUAGUCUAUUACAUAUCACCUUCAACACUAAUAAGUAAAAUAAUGGUUACUUGUGUGUUGAAUAAUACUUCUAUGUAGCAUCAAGUUUUUGGAUGUUCUAUGGUUACUUGGGCUUUGACUGUUGGAUUAUGAAGACUUUGGGUUGUCAAAGACAUAUUGAGAACAUCAUUAUGUUUGAGAUUGUCUUCCAUAUACGGUAGUAGUUUCCAUUGACAGUGCAGCAUGAUAAAUUCCUAAUUUCCAGAAAUUAUCUCCUGUUUGCAUCUUAUGAAGUAGCAAAUGUAAAAAUAUUUGUUGUUAACUCUGUUAUUUUAGGAGCAAGGGUAUCUUUUGUUCUUGAACUUGCUGCUCUUCGUUCCACUAUUUGAGUUUGUCUAUGAACAUAAAAGUUUUGCAAUAAAUUUCUUUUAUUUGACAUUUUUGUUCAAAUAAGACUAUUCUUUAGCUAUUCCAUAUACUUUAAAUGGUAGAGUGAUGGUUAUCUGAGUGUGAGAUGAUGCUAUGCGGACUGCAGGUCUUUUGACAAGCUAAAGAGAAGUUGUAAAGGCCUAAAAUCUAAACUUGCUGUUUGUGAGGAUGUACUGGUGCAUGUAAAGAGGGAUGGCUGAGGAAAAAGCAAGGAAUGUUGGAGAUGGAAGGGGGGAGGGGUUAGAAAGUAGGUUCCUAUAAAGUAUGCUUCAUUUAAACUAAAUUGAAGGACCGAAGAAUCCUUGGAAAUAUUAUGAGUGAAGGUUAGAGAAA
rnacentral:misc_RNA from 1 species